rnacentral:rRNA from 1 species
GACGAACGCUGGCGGCAUGCCUAACACAUGCAAGUCGAACGAGAACUUCGGGUCUAGUGGCGCACGGGUGCGUAACGCGUGGGAACCUGCACUUAGGUUCGGAAUAACUCCCCGAAAGGGGUGCUAAUACCGGAUAAUGUCUUCGGACCAAAGAUUUAUCGCCUUUGGAUGGGCCCGCGUUGGAUUAGCUUGUUGGUAGGGUAAAAGACUACCAAGGCGACGAUCCAUAACUGGUCUGAGAGAAUGAUCAGCCACACUGGGACUGAGACACGGCCCAGACUCCUACGGGAGGCAGCAGUGGGGAAUAUUGGACAAUGGGCGAAAGCCUGAUCCAGCAAUGCCGCGUGAGUGAUGAAGGCCUUAGGGUUGUAAAGCGCUUUUAACCGUGAUGAUAAUGACAGUACCGGGAGAAUAAGCUCCGGCUAACUCCGUG